rnacentral:tRNA from 1 species
CAAAGUGUAGCUUAACCUAAAGCACCCAGCUUACACCCGGAAGAUUCCACUACACGUGAUCACUUUGAA